UACGGGGGGGGCAAGCGUUGUUCGGAAUUACUGGGCGUAAAGGCUCGUAGGCGGCCAACUAAGUCAGACGUGAAAUCCCUCGGCUUAACCGGGGAACUGCGUCUGAUACUGGAUGGCUGGAGUUUGGGAGAGGGAUGCGGAAUUCCAGGUGUAGCGGUGAAAUGCGUAGAUAUCGCUUGGAACGCCGAAGGUGAAAACAGGCUGCUGGGGUUGUGCCGACGCUGAGACACGAAAGCCAGGGGAGCAAACAGG
rnacentral:rRNA from 1 species